ensembl:snoRNA
UGCCCCAGAUUCACUUUGCCAUAAGGGCCAUCCAGUGUCCUAAGUGGUCAUUAAUGUGGGCGAGAGCAGUCAUCCUUAUGCACCCUGGACAGGCACAUUAAUGCCUUUGCCAGAUUGUCAAUAUGGAAACAUUC